GAGAUAAUAGUAUAUAUUAGUAUGCUUCUUUUUCGAGGAAGUGGAUUAUAUCUUA
rnacentral:tRNA from 1 species